GAUGAAGAACGUAGCGAAAUGCGAUAAGUAGUGUGAAUUGCAGAAUUCAGUGAAUCAUCGAAUCUUUGAACGCACAUUGCGCCCCUUGGUAUUCCAUGGGGCAUGCCUGUUCGAGCGUCAUUUGUACCUUCAAGCUCUGCUUGGUGUUGGGUGUUUGUCCUUGCUCUAGUGGCGGGACUCGACUUAAAGUAAUUGGCAGCCAGUGUUUUGGUUUUGAAGCGCAGCACAAGUCGCGAUUCAAGUCUAUACGCUAGUUUCCACAAGUCUUUUAUCACUUUUGACCUCGGAUCAGGUAGGGAUACCCGCUGAACUUAAGCAUAUCAAUAAGCGGAGGA
rnacentral:misc_RNA from 1 species